AUACGGAGGGUCCAAGCGUUAUCCGGAAUCAUUGGGUUUAAAGGGUCCGCAGGCGGUUAAUUAAGUCAGAGGUGAAAGCCCAUCGCUCAACGAUGGAACUGCCUUUGAUACUGGUUGACUUGAGUUAUACGGAAGUAGAUAGAAUAAGUAGUGUAGCGGUGAAAUGCAUAGAUAUUACUUAGAAUACCGAUUGCGAAGGCAGUCUACUACGUAUAUACUGACGCUGAGGGACGAAAGCGUGGGGAGCGAACAGGAUUAGAAACCCUUGUAGUCC
rnacentral:rRNA from 1 species